UGGAGCCGUCUUUCCUCCAGAUCUCCAGCAUCCCUCAGAUCCCCAAGGUGGAGAGGCUGCUGGUCCUCUGCUGUCGGGUGGAGAACUUUUACCCCCAGGACAUUGACCUGGAGUGGUCCAGGAACGAUGGGGAGCAAGUCGGCACUGUCACACUCUUUGGACCUUUCUCUGACCACAAUCGCCUAUACAGCAUGUGGAGUAAGAUCCAGCUGGUCAUGGCCAGAGAGGACGAGAGGGCCGUCUACACCUGCAGAGUCUACCACUCCAGCUUCCCUGCUCCAGGUUACAGAGAUGUGCUGUACCACAUCAACACUCAAGGAACUCCUCCGAAUGUGAUGUUCAUCGACUGUGAACCACUGUGUCCUGUGAUGAAUGAAGAGUGCACGCUGCACCUGUGUGUCAAAGACUUCUGUCCCGAGGACGUGUCAGUGACUUGGACUAAAGACGGAGAGACAGUUCUCUCCGAUGUCUUUAACACUCCCCCGAGCCUGAACAUCAACGGCCUCUACUCCAUGUUCAGUUUUCUCAAGCUCACACCCGACAAGGACAACCAGGGCUCCCAGUUCAGGUGCCGGGUGGCCCACAGCGCCCUGAGGGAGCCUGAGGAGAGACUCUUCACUCUGCCUGCUGCAAACAACAACCGACUGCUAAUCGACGGCUGCUGAUCGACGGCUGCUGAUCCACGGCUGCUGAUGUCCCCACUGUGGAAACUCUGCUAUUUCAAGCUGCUGUAGUUUGAUUUGUGCAAGUUUGGAUGCAGAUCACGAAAAUGUUACGGCUCAAAACUGAAGUGGAGGUGAAACUCAUCAGAGUUCUCUUCAGAGCCAGACUCCAUUGUUAUUUUUUUUUUUUUUUAGCAAAAGUACA